rnacentral:pre_miRNA from 1 species
CAAGUACUCCCUCCAUCCGGAAUUACUUGUCAUCAAAAUGGAUGUGUCUAGAACUAAAAUACAUCUAGAUACAUCCAUUUCAAUGACAAGUAUUUUCGGACGCAGGGAGUACAAG